rnacentral:rRNA from 1 species
UACGUAGGGGGCAAGCGUUGUCCGGAUUUAUUGGGCGUAAAGAGCGUGUAGGCGGCUAGAUAGGUCCGUUGUGAAAACUCGAGGCUCAACCUCGAGACGUCGAUGGAAACCAUCUGGCUAGAGUCCGGAAGAGGAGAGUGGAAUUCCUGGUGUAGCGGUGAGAUGCGCAGAUAUCAGGAAGAACACCCGUGGCGAAGGCGGCUCUCUGGUACGUGACUGACGCUGAGACGCGAAAGCGUGGGGAGCAAACAGG